rnacentral:lncRNA from 10 species
ACGCUCCAAGCAGGGAUCAGUGCUAUCAGGAUGUCAUGUUGGAGCAUUGCAGACUGCUCUUCUCCCUUCUGCCUUUACAUACAAGAUGCCUGUUGCUGAGAACACUUGUUCCCACUUCUCUAGCAGGCAAGGAUCUGGGCAGGACAACAACCACAGGCAUGUGCUUUCUCAUCAUGUGAUGUCAUCUGCCAGGUCAUGAUGCAGCAAGAAGGCCCUCACCAGAUGCCACCCCUCCAGAACCAUGAGCCAAAUAAAUGUCUGUUCUUUAUAAAUG